GGGAAGGUUAUAAAGGACCGGAUGAAGAGGCACAUCGACGAGAGUCCAGCAUGUAACGCUUGUUACGUAUAUCUCAACAAUCAUAAAAUGCCAAGGCCUGAAAAUCUGUGGUAGGCUACAGCAGUGUGUGCAAGAUACCAAGGCCUGAAAAUCUGUGGGGUAGGCACCACACUAUCAGUCAUUAGGCACCACAGGAGUCAUUAUUUUGAUGUCGUUGUAGUUUGAUGUUGAGUAUUUUGAUUGUUAAUGGUUAUUUCUGUAUUCUGUACAUUGUAUUCUGUACAUGUUA